CACGUAGGGGGCGAGCGUUGUCCGGAUUUAUUGGGCGUAAAGAGCUCGUAGGUGGUUUCGUAAGUCGGAUGUGAAAACUCCAGGCUCAACUUGGAGACGCCAUUCGAUACUGCGAUGACUUGAGUCCGGUAGGGGAGUGUGGAAUUCCUGGUGUAGCGGUGAAAUGCGCAGAUAUCAGGAGGAACACCAAUAGCGAAGGCAGCUCGCUGGGACGUUACUGACACUGAGGCGCGAAAGCGUGGGGAGCGAACAGG
rnacentral:rRNA from 1 species